CCAACGCUCGCGCGCGAUUGGGCCGCUGCGUCACCUGACCCGAGCGACGCGCCUGGUUGGCUGCGGCCGAGUUACCUGGCGACGGAGCGGAGGGCUUCGCGGCGGGGGCAGCGUCCGUCGGUCCCGCGGGCGAGGCAGGCGCGGAGCAGCGGCGGCAGCGGCGGCGGCCGGGUCCACGGGCUGCAGAUGGGCGCUCAGGGCGCCGAAGAUGCUGGCGGGCCGGGGCGAGGCGCCGGCGCGGGAGCUCUUCCGGGACGCGGCGUUCCCCGCCUCCGACUCGUCGCUCUUUUUCAACUUGUCCACGCCGCUGGCCCAGUUUCGGGAGGACAUCACGUGGAGGCGGCCCCAGGUGGGGCCCGGCCUGGGCGGGUCUCGGGCGGGUGCGGCGGGAGGCCGGCGCGCGCCUCGCAGCCCCUCAGGUGGGCGGGGAAGGAGCUGGGAGCGCCAGGACCCGGCGGGGCGCUGCCCCACCUGCGGAGCUGACCCACGGCGUGCUGCUCAGAUGCGCUCGGUGGAGAGUUUGCCCCGGGAUGUUUGUACCACGACCAAAUGAGACCCAGAGGCGAGACGUUAUGAAUGAAAUUGUUCCCAUGUGCAGAAGGGAAAGGAAAGCAUUGUUUGCAAUUCUGUACCUCCACAUACUUGUGGCCAAAUGUAAGUCCCGCGUACCGCCACUCAGACCUCUCGCCCUCUUCGUUUGUUUCCACAGGCCUCGGCGUUUUGCAUAUGCAUGCCAAGAGCCGAUGCACGUGAGAAGUUGGGAUCGUUAUAGACAACCACAGCAUGUUGGAACAACCUAGGGAAGGGUGGCUGCUGCUCCACACAUCCCAGGACUCUAGUGAAUGUAGAACCAGGCUGCACUACACACUGCAGAGUGUGCAGACAAGUUUGGAUCUCCUAGAAUUUCCAAGUCAGUUGAACAGUUUGUCUGAGUUCAGCUGGAGAACUUGACCCUCAGGAGCAGGUUGUUGCUCAAGGCACAACAACAGAUGAAAUACCUAGCCCCUGUUUUUUUUCUCUGAAGAGUCUAUACCUGCCUCUUCUGGCCACAAGCCUUCCUGUUCUAUUGCUUGUGACUGCCGUUCUCAGGCUCUGAGGUCCCUUUGUGCCCUCUGGAAGGGCCAGAUUAAGCCCACAAAGCAAAACCGUUGUAGAAGUUCAAUUUUGGAUUUUGCCAACACUCCCACGCAAUUGGGCCGCUGUAAGCCUCCCAUAGUCCCAGUGGCUUGGAGUCUGAGGCAGGAGGAUCCCGAGUACAAAGCCAGCCUCAGCAACUUAGUGAGGACCUAAGCAAUUCAGUGAGAUCCUGUCUCUAAAUAAAAAUAUUUAAAAAGGGCUGGGGACAUGGCUCAGUGGUUGAGUGCCCCUGAGUUCAAUCUCCAGUAACCCCCCCCCUAAAAAAAAAAAUGGGAUUUACCACAUUACUCGG
rnacentral:lncRNA from 1 species